GUCGAACGAGCGAGAGAGAGUUUACUUUUUCGAGCGAGUGGCGAACGGGUGAGUAACGCGUGAGGAACCUGCCUCAAAGAGGGGGACAACAGUUGGAAACGACUGCUAAUACCGCAUAAGCCCACGGUGCCGCAUGGCACAGAGGGAAAAGGAGCAAUCCGCUUUGAGAUGGCCUCGCGUCCGAUUAGCUAGUUGGUGAGGUAAUGGCCCACCAAGGCGACGAUCGGUAGCCGGACUGAGAGGUUGAACGGCCACAUUGGGACUGA
rnacentral:rRNA from 1 species